UAAUCAAAGAUUUAGUAAACAUGGGGAGAACACCGGGGGCAGCUUCAAUUAACGUGACAUGGAUGUCUUUUUGAAGCUCGGGAAACAUAUCCUUAACGUCGUUAUCAAUGAAAUCUUGCAUCUCAGCUGCAAAUUCCAUUCCAGUAGGGCCACCACCAACAACAGUGAUGUGUAAGAGACGAGCCCGUUCCUCGGGAGAAAGAUCUUUAUUGAAUCGAACUUGUUCCAAGAUUUCAAAGAUGCGGUUAAACACCUUCUUGGCAUCUCCCGCUUCUUUCAGAAAACAGCCAUGGUCGCGGACACCCUGGAUACCAAAUGUUUGAUUACCAG